UUUCAUUGUUUGGUGUUUUGGUGGCUAGCUUCUUGAGCUCCUUAUAUAUUUUGGAAAUCAGCCCUCUGUCAGAUGUGGGAUCGGUGAAUUAUAGGCAUUUAUAAGCUAUCUGAUGUGGACCAUGGGAACCAAACUCAGGUCCUCUGCAAACUGUUGAACUGUCCCUCCAGCUCUAUGAUUUCAUUUGAAAGUUAAGCAUUCUGCAGUUAGUUAAUCAUGUUGGCGAUUGUACAACUCAGGAAUAUACUGACAAAUCACAAACUUAUUACUUCAAAUGGGCAAGACACAUGGUGUAUGCAUUGUACCACAGUAAAGCUGUUGGGCUCUGCAAAAGAGACGAGAAAGCAAAGAGGCUCCAGGGGUGAAGCCUGCCUCUAGUGAACCGGGUGCCCAGGGUACUGCAUGAGGCUAGCAUGUUUGUCUUCUUGAUGACACCUACAGGAUGAGCACUGUACCUUGACCCUUUCUGUCCCACACUCCAGAUACCACAGGAGUUCUGGAAUGGAAGGUGUGCCAGAGAAUGCUGUAUUUUAAAACAAAUGUGCCAAGCAAGCUGGCUUCCAGGAGAUAAUGGAACACUGUAGGAGGUGUGACCCACUGACAGUGUGUAGGGACCACAGCAAGCUUCUCUUUCUUGGUUUUAUGGAGCAGCUUUACUCACUGCUGGUGGGCUCAAAGGGGAAAGGAGGUCCCAGACUGAUGCAUGUAAGACCUGACCACAAGCAGCGGUGAUCAGAAGUCUGGGCCCAAUGGAGCUGAAUCAAGGUGUCAAGGGGCAGGGCUCCAUAUGGGAAGAUUAGGAGAAAGGCCUUCUUCAGAUAGGGAAGGAGGAAUCCCUGCUUCUUCCCACAUGGCUCACUCUCAGGCCAGCCACAAGCGGGAUUUGCUCAGCAUCUCAAGAUGGGUAACUCUCAGAGGGACCUCUGUCCCCUCCCACCACACUCCUGCCUGUUGUCUCUCUUACUCUCUCCUCUCUCUGUUGCUUUUCUCAAAAUCUAGUCUUGUUUGUUGUCCCAAAUGGCUUUUAUUUUGAUUGACAAAUCAAAAGUGUAUGUAUACAUGGGUUGGAGCGUGCUGUUUUGAUAUGUGUUUACAAUGUGGCAUGAUUAAAUCCAACUAAUUAAUGCAUCCAUCA